rnacentral:rRNA from 1 species
AUUCCAAUCGAACUCGGAGAUAGCUGGUUCUCCCCGAAAUAGCUUUAGGGCUAGCCUCGAUUUAGAUUACCGGGGGUAGAGCACUGAAUGGGCUAGGGGGCCACAAAGCUUACCGAACCCUAUCAAACUUCGAAUACCGGAUAAUUGAUGAUCGGGAGUCAGACAGUGUGAGAUAAGUUUCAUUGUCGAAAGGGAAACAGCCCAGAUCUACGACUAAGGUCCCAAAGUUCAAGUUAAGUGGAAAAGGAUGUGCAAUUGCGUAGACAACCAGGAUGUUGGCUUAGUAGCAGCCAUUCAUUCAAAGAGUGCGUAAUAGCUCACUGGUCGAGUGAUUGUGCGCCGAAAAUGUAACGGGGCUAAACUUGACACCGAAGUCUAGGCAGAAGGAAACUUCUGGGUAGGGGAGCAACGUGUACGGGCAGAAGCAGAAGCGGAAGCGACUGUGGACUGUACAGGAGAGAGAAUGCCGGCAUGAGUAGCGAGAGCAAAGUGAGAAUCUUUGCCGUCGAAAGCCUAAGGUUUCCUGAGGAAGGCUCGUCCUCUCAGGGUAAGUCGGGACCUAAGCCGAGGACAAUAGUCGUAGGCGAUGGACAAUCGGUUAAUAUUCCGAUACCGCCGAGCAACCGGAUGCAGUGACACAGAAGGAUAGGCAGAGCGUGGCGAUGGUAGACCACGUCCAAGCAGUGAGGCUGUUGUGUAGUGAAGUACGCACAACGAAAGGCUGGGCUGUGAUGGGGAACGAUUACGAUCGGUAAGCUGCUGAAUUCACGCUGGCGAGAAAAGCUGCUACGAAGCGAAGGCGCCCGUACCGCAAACCGACACAGGUAGGCGAGGAGAGAAUCCUAAGACGAGCGGGAGAACCCUUGUUAAGGAACUCGGCAAAAUGACUCCGUAACUUAGGGAGAAGGAGUGCCCAGGAAUGGGCCGCAGAGAAUAGACCCAAGCGACUGUUUACCAAAAACACAGGUCUGUGCGAAGUAGAGAUACGACGUAUACGGGCUGACACCUGCCCAGUGCCGGAAGGUUAAGGGGAAAUGUUAGGGCAACCGAAGCAUGGAACUUAAGCCCCGGUGAACGGCGGCCGUAACUAUAACGGUCCUAAGGUAGCGAAAUUCCUUGUCGGGUAAGUUCCGACCCGCACGAAUGGUGUAACGAUUUGGGUACUGUCUCAACAAGGGACCCGGCGAAAUUGUAGUAUGUGUGAAGAUGCACAUUACCCGCGAUAGGACGGAAAGACCCCGUAGAGCUUUACUGUAGUUUAACAUUGGAUUCCGGUAACAUAUGCACAGGAUAGGUGGGAGGCGGAGAAGCAGUGAUUUCGGUUGCUGCAGAGCCGACGUUGGGAUACCACUCUUGUGUUACUGGGGUUCUAACCUGUGGCCGUGAUCCGGCACAGGAACAGUGUUAGAUGGGCAGUUUGACUGGGGCGGUCGCCUCCAAAAGAGUAACGGAGGCGUCCAAAGGUUCCCUCAGAAUGGUUGGAAACCAUUCGAAGAGUACAAAGGCAGAAGGGAGCCUGACUGCGAGACCGACAGGUCGAGCAGGGACGAAAGUCGGGCUUAGUGAUCCGGCGGUAUAGAGUGGAAUUGCCGUCGCUCAACGGAUAAAAGCUACCUCGGGGAUAACAGGCUUAUCUCCCCCAAGAGUCCACAUCGACGGGGAGGUUUGGCACCUCGAUGUCGGCUCGUCGCAUCCUGGGGCUGGAUUAGGUCCCAAGGGUUUGGCUGUUCGCCAAUUAAAGCGGCACGCGAGCUGGGUUCAGAACGUCGUGAGACAGUUCGGUCCCUAUCCAUCGUGGGCGCAGGAGAUUUGAGAAGAGCUGUCCUCAGUACGAGAGGACCGGGAUGGACGCACCAAGGGUGUAUCAGUUGUCACGCCAGUGGCACAGCUGGGUAGCCAAGUGCGGAUCGGAUAAACGCUGAAGGCAUCUAAGCGUGAAGCCGACUUCAAGAUAAGAUCUCCCAUCCGCAAGGAGUAAGGCCCCAUGUAGACCACAUGGUUGAUAGGUCGCAGGUGGAAGUGCAGUAAUGUACGCAGCUGAGCGAUACUAAUAGGCCGAGGGCUUGAUCA